GGCUUAGGAGUCCAGAGGAAGCUGACAUUGUAAUUUUGCCUGACAUUGAGGAGAGCAAUUGAGAACUGGAUUCGAUUCAAGAUAUUUGUAUAUCAUUGCUGAAGUGGACACUGCUGAAAUGGCUUCAUACAAGGAGAAUAGAACUGCCCAAAUUCGGCUUGUGAGUUCACAUGAUGAGGUUUAUGAACCAUGUGAUGAUUCUUUUGCGCUGGUUGACGCUCUGCUUGCCGAUCGCACUAACUUGUUGGAACAUUGUCCUACAAUGUGUAUGGAGAUUGGCUGUGGCAGUGGAUAUGUCAUUACUUCCCUUGCUCUUAUUCUUGGGCGCGAAAGAGGUGGCGUCAACUAUAUCGCAACUGACAUAAACCCAAAUGCAGUUAAGGUGACCCGUGAGACAUUGGACGCACACGGGGUUGACGCAGAGUUGAUAUUAACAGAUAUUGCAUCUGGGCUAGAGAACCGACUAGCUGGUUUGGUUGAUGUCAUGGUUGUAAACCCUCCUUACGUACCUACUCCCGAAGAUGAAGUCGGCGCUGAAGGUAUUAUCUCUUCUUGGGCUGGAGGGGAAAAUGGAAGGAGAGUAAUUGAUCGGGUUCUGCCUGUUGCAGACCAUCUUUUGUCUGAAAAGGGAUGGUUGUACAUGGUCACCUUGACGGCAAACAAUCCCUCCGAGAUAUGCUUGCAAAUGAAGAAAAAAGGGUAUGCUUCUAAGAUUAUCAUUCAAAGAUCGACAGAGGAAGAAAGUCUACAUAUAAUCAAGUUCUGGCGGGAUUUCGAUACUACGGUAGAUGAGGUAACAGACCAAUCCCUUACUGGGUUCCUGGGCUCCUUGCUUGCACAAAUUCCUCUAUUUUCUCUCUGGAGAGGCAGCAAUAGUAAUGAUAACUGCUGAUUAGAAGGUGGGGUUAGACAUGGAUCAACUGAGGCUAGCGAACUCUGUCAAAGACCAAAUUUUAAGAGAAAGCAUUUAAAGCAAGGGAAGAGUUAAAAUUUAGCAUAUUGUCCUAAAAUUGGAGUAUACUACAGGAUGAAGGACAGAGGUUGCAAAUUCAUUGAGGAUAACACAACAUAAUUAGCAGUUAUAGAUGUAUGAACUUGCUCAAGAUCCAGUUCUUCUACUUGGCUGGCCAGACACCACAAACAGCUGAUAUUGAAAGUUUGUUUGUAACUUUAGGCAUUUGUGUCAGCAUCUUCUAAUCAAUAGUUAUAAAUAUUUUGGCAGAAUCACAUUUUAACUUCCAAUUUACAUAGUUUUAUAUAA